AUUGAACGCUGGCGGUAUGCUUAACACACGCAAGUCGAACGAUGAGAAAGAGCUUGCUCUUUCGAUUAGUGGCGGACGGGUGCGUAACGCGUAGGAAUCUACCUAUUAGUGGGGGACAACUUAGGGAAACUUAAGCUAAUACCGCAUACGCCCUACGGGGGAAAGAAGGGGAUCGCAAGACCUUUUGCUAAUAGAUGAGCCUGCGUAGGAUUAGCUAGUUGGUGGGGUAAAAGCUCACCAAGGCGACGAUCCUUAACUGGUUUGAGAGAAUGAUCAGUCACACUGGAACUGAGACACGGUCCAGACUCCUACGGGAGGCAGCAGUGGGGAAUAUUGGACAAUGGGCGAAAGCCUGAUCCAGCAAUACCGCGUGUGUGAAGAAGGCCUUAGGGUUGUAAAGCACUUUCAAUUGGAAGGAAAACCUCGAAGCUAAUACCUUCGAGUUUGACAUUACUUUAGAAGAAGCACCGGCUAACUCCGUGCCAGCAGCCGCCGUAA
rnacentral:rRNA from 1 species